UGGGGCGUGGCCAAGCGGUUAAGGCGCUGGUUUUUGGUAUCAGUACUCCCAGGUUCGAAUCCUGGCGCCCCAGCCA
rnacentral:tRNA from 1 species